AUGAGGCCCUUCUGUAAAGAUGGAGGGCUUACACCAACAAAUCUGCCCUGGGUAGACGGGACCACACUGAGCUAUGUGACAUAUAUGUACUGUUAUCCCAGAAGGAAGAACUACUGAAAGCUAUUGCCUCCCUUCAGCUAACAAAUUACACAGAUGUUAUCAAGGUACUAGAUGCAGUGAAGUGGAGGUGUAGACUUUUGAAUGCAUGUGAAGGUUCUAUCACAGGAGAAGAAAUGGAGUACCACUACAUGGCCUUACACUGGCACAUGUUCUACAA